ACAACAACACCACUCCCAACAACAACACCACUGCCAACAACAACACCACUCCCAACAACAACACCACUCCCAAGAACAACACCACUCCCAAGAACAACACCACUCCCAACAACAACACCACUCCCGUCCACCGCGUUUCCGUCCACCGCGUUCCCGACCACCGCAGGCACCAUCUCGGGACCGUUGCCAAACCCGCUGGCCACGUUCACUGUUGCAACCAUUGCUCCUCUUGCUCUCGCUGUUGUCAUACUUCUCCUGCUUGCGCUGGCAGUCUUCAGACGGAGUUUUCAGCCAGCCAAGGGAAAGGGCAAGACACCAGGUGAGAAAAUGGAUGCUGUUGAGACGGGCUCUAGUGCUUUUCUCUCAAGUGGCAGAGGCGGCGAUACCCGUAUGGUUGCUCUCAGCCUGACUGACAUGAUUGAGUUAGAACGGACCAAUUCACUGGGCUCGGAAGGCUACGGAAAUAAUGUGCUGAGAACCAUUCGUCCUUCGGAUUUGGGGAUUCGCCAAAACGCUACGCCAGCAGUUGAGACAUGGCGGAAUGCACCGCAAGCAGAUGGACACGAAACGAACAGUAUCCAAAUGUCCUGCCGAUCUACAGAGCCGAUCAUCGACACAAAGCUAUCAACAGAAACCGCACAUUUCGCUAGUGACGAGAUAUGUUCCCACUCACAGCCGCACAUGUGAACACUAGUGAACACUCAACACUCGCACAAUUAAUUGCAUUUCGUUUUGCAUGUUUGUUGCUUCUACAUGUAUUAGAAAAGUUUUCUGAUAAUUUUGUUCCGUUUCCAAUUUCUUAUCUACAUGUAUAAUUGCAAGGUGGUAACAGCAUACUGUUUGUGAAGUCUGAAAAAAAAAGAAUCGUGCUCGAACAAGGCAUAAUCCUGUUUGAAACCCAUACUUGCGUUCAUUUUCGUCGAGUUCCUAUCAAGACUAUGGCUAUGUUCUUUGUUGUUUCUACUUCAAGAAGUAGCUGUAUUGCAUUGCAUUCUUGGACAUCGGUUCGUGUGUGCCAUGCCGUGGUUUCUCAGUAUCCAUUGUGGGUUUUCGAACAGGAUUGGCCUCUAGUUUGAUUCUGAUGCAAUUGCAUUAUUGUUAGAGUUAGUGCCCUUGCUGCCUCGCUUUCCUAGUUCUGUUUCCACGUGACAGUUUGAUGUCUGACGCAUGCAUGCUUUCCUAGUUCUGUAUCCACGUGACAGUUUGAUGUCUGACGCAUGCAUGCUUUCCUAGUUCUGUUUCCACGUGACAGUUUGAUGUCUGACGCAUGCAUGCUUUCC